GAGUUACAGGGGAUUCGGAGCCUCCUGGCAUGGGUGCUGGGAACUGGACUCUGGAAGAGCAGCAGCAGCAGCAGCAGCAGCAGCAGCAGCAGCAGCAGCAGCAGCAGCAGCAGCAGCAAGAGCUC
rnacentral:miRNA from 14 species